UUAGUCUUUGUUUUCUGGAGCCAAAGAAGAAAGACCACUUGAGGACACAGAGAUCAGUGAUGCCUGAGGAAUCUCAGUCUUAAUCAAGAAUUGGAGAAAGCAUGGACAAAUACUUCGGAAUUUCCUUCAUGAUACUGUGUUUUCAUUCGGAUUCAGGGGUCAGCAGCCAAGAUGAGGUAAAGCAGAGUCUCCUGUCCUUACGGGUCCUGGCAGGCGAAAGUGCCACCCUGAACUGCAGUUAUAAAGUCAGUGACCUCAGAAACUUACAUUGGUACAGACAGUAUCCUGGGCAAGGCCCUAGAGCCCUGUUUAUGCUUUUUUCAACUUGGGAAGAGAAGUGGAAAGGAAGAUUAAAAGCCUCAUUAGAUAAGAAGGAAGCUUUUAGCUCCCUGCACAUCAAUGACACUCAAUCUGAAGACUCUGCCACCUACUUCUGUGCUGUAGAGACACAGUGAUUCUCCAGGCACCUGCAGCCUUUACACAAAGCUUGCAGAUGGGUAUUGGCAUAGGGGCACAGGGAUUUGCUACAAUGAUGCUCUCCUCAAAAGAGGACUGUUGAGAUAGGCAGCUUUUAAAUUAAAUUCUCUGGGACUGUCAGGCAGAUGGAAUUUAAAAAAUUUUGAAUUAUUCGUUCUUACUAUAGCCCCUGUAUCCAAGAUGUUCCUAAUAAAACCAC